rnacentral:siRNA from 1 species
AUGUGGUGUAAUGCUCUGCUCUAA